rnacentral:ncRNA from 1 species
UUCUUCAGGGCAGGGUGCAAUUCCCUACCGGCGGUAUAGCCCGCGAGCCGAAAGGCCGAUCCGGUCCGAUUCCGGAGCCGACAGUACAGUCUGGAUGGAAGAAGAA